rnacentral:tRNA from 1 species
GGAGAGGUGGCCGAGUGGCUUAAGGCAACGGUUUGCUAAACCGUCAUACGCCGUAAGGUGUAUCGAGGGUUCGAAUCCCUCUCUCUCCG